GUGCAGCAGGCGAGAAUUUUUCUCAAUGGGGGAAACCCUGAAGGAGCGACGCCGCGUGGAGGAUGAAGGUCUUCGGGUUGUAAACUCCUGUCAUUUGAGAACAAGGUGCACAUGUUAACUGCAUGUGCAUUGAUAGUAUCAGAAGAGGAAGGGACGGCUAACUCUGUGCCAGCAGCCGCGGUAAUACAGAGGUCCCAAGCGUUGUUCGGAUUCAUUGGGCGUAAAGGGUGUGUAGGUGGCGCCGUAAGUCGGGUGUGAAAUCUCGGGCUUAACUCCGAAACUGCAUUCGAUACUGCGGUGCUUGAGGACUGGAGAGGAGACUGGAAUUCAUGGUGUAGCAGUGAAAUGCGUAGAGAUCAUGAGGAAGACCAGUGGCGAAGGCGGGUCUCUGGACAGUUCCUGACACUGAGACACGAAGGCCAGGGAGCAAACGGGAUUAGAUA
rnacentral:rRNA from 1 species